CUCUUCUUUAAGGUUCUCUGCUUUUAUUAGGUUCAUAUUUUCAUUAUAUUCUUCCACAACACAAAACCUUCCUAGGGAAAUUUCUUCUGUUUCUUCAAUUAUACUUUUUCUAGAUAAAAUUUGUCAUCUGUGGCAUAUAUCACUAGUUGCUACUCAAUAUCCGUUCUUCCCUGUUUCCUUAUUUCCACACUCAUUUUAUUCAGGGCAGUAGUGUACCCAGCUAAAAGGCAACAUUUCCAAGACUCAGCUGCUGGUGGCUAAUGCCUUUCUUUGUUUCCUAACUGCAUAAGGACUUUUAAUUUAAAUCUUCCUAUAUUUUUCCUUGUGCAGGAGCAACUUUUGUGUGUUGGUUCACCUUUCUCUAUGUUUGGGGAUCUUAGUAUAAUUUAAAACAAAUUUUCAUUCACAUUUCUUGCAUACUGUGUGUGUGUGUUGGGGGCUUAGCACUAGGAAAUUUGUUCUACUGCAAGGAGCCAAAUUGAUUCAAGGAAACUUCUUUCUUCCCUCUCUCUCUGUCUCUGUCUCUAUUUCGGGUUGCACAUUUUGGAUUGUAUGGCAUGAAGCUCUGUCCUUUCCUUUGAUUGAUUCUGAAGUAUUUUGGCUGGUUUGGUCCUAUUUGUUAUUCUAUCAUUAGGGUUAGGGGAAAGAAGAGUUUCAGAUGUUUUUAUUCUACCAUCUUAACUUGGAAGUCUGUACAAGUACUUUAAAUAAAUUUUAGUCAAAGUAGUACAAACAAAUGGUCACAAAUCAAAUCAUGCAAAAAUAUUGUGAUAAGAAACAACUGAGCUUGGCUUCACUGUGGCAUUUACUUACUUACUCCCAAGAGACAUUUUUUUUCUAUUUCUUUGCAAAUGGAGAAAAAUUUACGUACGUGAAAAUGCAUACAUCUUAAGGGUCAAAUUUGAGAUGUGACAAUUGCACAUAUCCCUGUAACCCCCAUCUAUUAAAAUAUAGAGGAUUUUUAUCACCCAGGAAAGAUCCCUUUUGCAACUUCCCGGUUAACCCCACCCAACUCCUCCUUCCCAGAGGCAAUCACUGUAUGGUUUUCUUUCACUAUAGAUUAAUUUGCUUACUGUAGAACUCCGUAUAAAUUGAAUCAUUUGGUGGGUGCUCUUUUACAUCUGUCUUCUUUCACUCAGCCUAAAAAUUUCAAAGUUUUUCAUGUUGUAGCACAUUUCACUGGUUUGUUCCUUUGUAUUGCUGAAGAGUAUUCCAUUGUCUGUUUAGAUUAUGAUUUGUUUAUCCAUCUGCUGACGAUGGACAUUGAGAUUGUUUCCAGUUUGAAGAAAACUGCCAUGGACGUUAUUGUACACAUCUUUCUAUGCAUGUAUGUUUUCAUUUCUCUUGAGUAAUAAAUACAAGUGCAAUUUCUGGAACUUAGAGUAGAUGUACUUUUAAUUUUAUGAGAAACUACUAGAACAAUUUCCAAACUGGUUAAACCAUUUUUUUUUUUUGAGGAAGAUUAGCCCUGAGCUAACAUCUGCUGCCAAUCCUCCUCUUUUUGCUGAGGAAGACUGGCCCUGAGCUAACAUCCAUGUCCAUCUUUAUUUUAUGUGAGAUGCCUGCCACAGUUGACAAGCAAUGAAUGGGUCCGCACCUGGGAUCCAAACCAGUGAACCCCUGGCUGCUGAAUCGGAACGUGAGAACUUAGUUGCUGCGCCACCUGGCCAGCCCCUGGUUAAACCAUUUUAUACUACCUCCAGCAGUACGUGCAAGUUUUGAUUGCUCCACAUCCUCAACAUCAUUAGGCAGGGUGGUGUUCCUCUUCUCACCCUAAGAGGACACAAGCCUUUGUGUAGGAUGCUUAUUAAAGAAUAUGAGAAAUCAUACACAAUCAUUGGAAAGACUGGAGGAACAGAGGCUGAGUCUCUAGGAAAAACUCUCAGAAUCAUUAUCCAGAGCUGGUUUUUGCGACUGCCCCAGCCACUGUCACCUUCAAAACCAUGCUUCCUCUGCCGUGUUCUGCUGCUUUGACCACCGUGGACCCAGAACACAUUACCUCUGCUGCCACCCACUGAAGAGAUGCCUCUACCCUGCCAGUUUCCGCAUGCAGCGCUGUUCCACUUCAGUCCUCCCGUGGGUAUGUUUGGUUGCAGAAGUGAAGUCGUGUUUCUUUAUGCUUGAAGCAAAGGAAACUGAGAAUGUAGUUUGUUUCUAUACUAGCAAGGCAAGAUUCACAAUGUAGGAAACUUUUACAAUCUAGAGGAGUUCAAAUUAUAUUGGGCAGUCACAAAUGACAAACGGCUACCGAAGAAGGGGUUAAAGGCAUUGUUUAGAAAGGUUUUUAUUUGUCUAUUGUUUCUCUUGAUUUUGCCCUCCUUUUGGAAAGUCAACUUGGUGUCACGCACCAUUCUAGGGGAUGGCCUCUGUGCAACAGGGAGUUAAGAGAGAAUGCCCCAAGUAACUUCUAAGCAAGAGCAAGGGGCUUUCUUUCUCCGAAGCUUCUAGUAAAUUAUGCAUCCUUCUUAACUAGGUCAUAGGACCUUUCUUGAAACAAUCUCUCUGGCAAGCAAGUGGGAGUAGCUGAUUGGUUUAAGCCAGUUGUGGCCCCACUGGCCUGGGUGAAGUGAGCUUGCCUUGUAGCACAGAGGCCAUUUGUGGAAGGAGUGAAAGUAAGAAAACAAUAAGGAGGAGAUAGAUGCUGGGUGAACACUAAGAGUAAACAUCCUUUGUACUCACUUUACUUAUCCUUCUAGAUGAACUUGAGAACCGCUUUGACUUCUAUAGAAAUUGCAUUAAUCCAGCACUUAACUUUGGAAGAGUUAGUAUCUUUAGAAAACUUAUUUUUCCCAUUCAGGGGUGAGAGCUGUAUCUCCACUUAAGUUGUUAUUCUUUAUUGCUCACAAAAGUUUUAUAGUAUCUUUGACAUAGAUUUCCUAGCAAGAUUUUUGCCAGGUAGCUUUUAUUUUGCUGUUAUUGUGAAAACUUCUAAAAAUAUGGGUUUUUUGACAUGUAUGAAUACUAUCAAUUUGUAUUUAUUAAACAAAAUAAUUCUUAAUUAUUUACAAUUUUAUAAAACUUAUUUAUAAAAAAUCCUGGCAUUGUGAAAUUAAUUUUACAUUUAGUUUUUGUUGAUAUUGCCAAAAAAGUUACUCUGUGCUUUUAUUUCUAAAAAGUAAAUAUUUAAAUUUUCCUUUCAUAUAUUAUUAAAAACAUACUAAUCGCUGGAACAAUAUAUAGCAGGUAUCAUAGUUUUCUAUUUGUUUAAUUGUACCAAUGCAAACUUAAAAGUUUAAUGAAAAACAGAAAAACUUCCGUUAUUUCACCAUUAAAUAAAAUUUUUAAAUUGGC
rnacentral:lncRNA from 1 species